GUCGCUCCCGUAUUGGGCAGAAAUAGAGACAAAAAAAAAAUCAGGUUCCAAGCGUCUUGUAUUCUCCCCCCACGCACGCGACCUCCUCUCGUUCCACAAGCCAACGCAACCGCCGCCUCCUCGCCUCCGCCUCUUUCUCCGGGGGCCUUGCAGCUGCAGCGGGAUGGGAGUCAAGGGGGCGAGCGGGAUGGGCGGCCAGCUGGUUUCUUCGCCAGAUCUGCAGCCCAGGGGCGACUCCGGACCGGGGAGUGGCGGCAGUGGCCAGGCCUAGUGGUGACGGGACAAUGAAGUGGUCGGAGGCGCUGCAUCGGCGGCAAGUUGGUCUGCAACGACAGCAAGACGAGGGAGAUCGUGCACCCGCGGUGCCAAAGCUCAAGGGCCAUUAGGGAGCUGAACUCAGAUGUAUCCACCGUGCAGGACAAUGCCUUGGAGCUCCUGCUAUGUGGCUGUGGUUCUGGUCUUCUUUCCUGUACUUAAAUCUCGUGUUUGUUCGAUCUUAUAGGCUUCUUCAUAUUUUGCAUAUUCAUCAAGACGUGGCAGUCUACUCUGCUAUUUUGGCUAUCAUGGUCAAAAUAGCAGUAUGGAAUAAAUGAGACUUCCGGUCAAGCUACUGAUAUUAAGGUGUUCUUAUGUUUUUUUGGUGGGCUUUCAAGCCACUUGUGUUUGCAUUUUGUCCAAAACUCAUGAAGAUUGAAGGAUCUUCAGAAGAAUAACCGGCAUAGCAUAUGGGUGCACGUGUGGAGCCAGUUCAGAGCAUACGUAGUAGUAGCAGUCUCAAGGUAAUGCAUUACAGGGCAUGUACAAUUUUGAAAUUGUAAAAUUCCACUAUGGCACUAAGGUGCUGUCUUUUGCUCUCCUCCCUGCAAAUCUAUGCUUAUUUCCUGAUAUAUAUGUAGCUUCUUAUAUAAUUAAUAGACUGUAUUAUGAGUGUAUUCGUGUUCUAAAAUCAACAAUGGUGGUAUCUUGGUAGAACUAAUGCAUUUCCUUAUGAUUUACUAUCCUGACUUAAAAGAUAUUGACUGAUUUUACAGCUGCUGUGCACAUAAUACACUGCUAUAUGUUUCGUAGUAUUAUCCUUCUAAGAACAAGUACCGGCGCUCUGUUUUGCUAAUCCAAAAGGUGCAGCUUGUUAUUGUCCUUCAACUAUGCUUCCAGCAUAUAUAUGUUUUAACUUCUUGAUCCUUGUUUUGCUAUGCUUAACCUUUCAUACCCAGCUUCUUGGAUAAACUAAUUGUAGAAUUUCUUACCUUUGCCAUGCCUUGCUUUGCAUGCUUCAAGAAGCUUUUCAGAAUAUUCAGUUAAUUGUGCUGGUUGUUCAUAUCCUUAGCUGUUUUGCAGCUUAUCUGUCAAGUAGGUUUUACACUUUCGACAACUGGGAUAAUCAUGCUGCAAUUGCAUGCGAUGCUACUUCUAUAUUGCCGUGCUCUGAAAUAUAUUUUCAAAGGCAUAACCGAUUGGUCAAAAUAUACAGCUUGAGAUACUUUCAGUUUAGUUCAUAUCAUAUAUGAUUUUAGUUUGUCGCACGGUAUUUUUUUUUUUUAAAUAUUAGCUAUCAAGGCAAGGAUAAGACAUCAGGACAAAGAAGAGUUACCCUAUGCGUUUUUGGUGAUGUUGCAGAACACUCUUGAGAAGCGACAGCUAGGUAUUAUGACGCAUAUCUUCCUUCUCUGUUCAAAGCUUGCACAAGUGAAAACCCUGAUGUUAUACAAUGUGGAGUACAAUGGCUCCUACGGCUCGGCUUCGCGGCCGGGAUCAGGCAUCGCUGGAUCGGUGGCACCAAAGGUGGGUUGUGGAAGACUGCAUCGGGGAGCAUCGAGCCAUCGACCGAACAAGGUCUUAGAGUCGUUUAUGAUCCCGUAGGCCUCCGACAACAUCAAUAAUAAGGAUAGGAGUUGUCUGCUUCAUAUCGCCUCUGUCUCCACCCACGUUUCAGUUUGCAGGACGUGUUUGAGGGUGGCUUCUGCUUGUUCAUGAAGGCAACUAAGAAGGAGAAUUUGAUUAAAUUUCUUGAAGGAAAGAAAUAUUUUAUUUUCAGGCAGCCUUCCUGUCUAGGGGGGGGGGGGGGCUGGCGCCGUUCUGGUCGUGGUUCGGCAACCUGCAUCUGCAUCGGGAGGACGGCGGUGCCGAUGGUUUGGGAGCUGAAGCCGUGUGGCGAGGAUGGCGGUGGCGGAGGAGGAAGGGGGGCGCCGGCGGCUUUCGGUCACAUGGGUCAAAGGAGAGCAAGGGGACGGCAGCACCUUCUUCCCAUCUUCACCUAGAGUGCUAGCUACCUUUCAAACAUGGAAGCUUAGGAAAAAGCAUGUAAACCGAAGACAGGAAGCUUACCUGUUUGAUUCAGCAGAUUUGGUUUGCUCUAUUUGUUAAGAUCUUUCUCUGCUGCACGAGAACUUAAAGAUGUAACAUCAAUGUGGUGGGCAUAGAUCAGAAAGGCAAGUUCUUGUCAAAGGAAAUCUUCACCUACGUAAAGGUAACCUCAAUAGCCUCUCUUAAAUUUUGCAACAGGCAGCCGUUGCUGUAGCAUGGAGCUCUAGAGUAGUUAGUCUAGAUUCAACUCUAGAGUAGUUAGUCUAGAUUCAACUGAGUUACAAGUGCACAUUUGUCCAGUUAUUGCUACCUUUUUUUGGAAGAUUUUAGACUUACUAUCCUGUGUUAAUUUAAGGACUGGCUAAGUUUUGUUGUUCGUUCCCGUUCUCGGGUGCUGUCCGGUGGGUCAGUUGUGCUCUUCAGCGCCUUCGUCUUUGUUGUCUCCUACACCUUUGCCUACACCCUCACCCACUACCACGGCUCCCGCAGCAAGGUAACAGGUCUCUGCCUCGCCCGAUCUCCUUCGCCAGUUUAUAUGCAGAUGGACGGCUGCAUGAACAGAAAGACAAUGGUGUCCGGGCUUUGUUGCAUUGCGUUACAGGACGAGAACCUCUUUUAUUUCAUUUCCAGUUUCACUUUUUUUAGAACAUUUCCAGUUUCACUCUGCCUCUCUUUUUUACUUGGCUGGACUAAAGCAAAGUAGCAACAUUUACGUAAACAGAACCGGGUGUUUUCUGCUUUCUUGUUCCUCCAUUGUCUUCUGCUGGUGUGUUGCCUUCACUCGUAUCUCCAAAAGCAAUUUACUGCCCCUCCAAUUCCAUGGAAACUAAUGGUGGAUCUUAUCUACCACCAGUAAAAAUCAAACCCCAAUACUAACUGGUGACCAUAAUUUCCAUUUUCCCCUUCUAUAAGCCCCAUAUCAAUCUCAUUUCUGAACCCUGGUCAUGGGCUUGACCAACAAAAUAUAUGUUAUAUGCCUACAAAAUGUAUCAUCGGAAACUUCUUUCCCAUAUAAAUAUAAUGGUAUACUUUUUCCGUACAAUAUAUACUUUGUUGUUCAAAUCGAGGCUUUCUACCUAUCGUCAGUCCUGCACCAAGGACUAGGCUAGAAAAGUUACAUCCUUUUGAUGUUCUUAUCUUGGCAUGAUGCAAGGCAAAACCAAAAGGGAGAGGUUAUAUUAUUGGCCAUAUUUACUUUGGUUAUUAGUUGAGCACAUCUGGAGCAUCUUUCCAUUGUUGCCUGCCUUUCCAUUGUUAAGAUGCUGGAGGAGACUAACCGUACUACCGAUGAUAACACGCUUCUUGCUUUGGGUUUGUUUACUUGCCACAUAUGGCAUCAUAAUUAGAUGCAUUAGUAUUUUAUUGCUGCCAAAUGUCGUUGGUACUAAUUCUGGAUUAUUUCAGUCCAGUUCGAGGCUGGCUGCAGCCACGACAUCGACGGCAUCCAUAACAAUCGCGGAUCCUUCGACAUCUGGAUUGACCGCUGCUCCGUCGUCGACUACGAUGGCGGGCUCAUCGACAUCAUGCGCCAGAGCAUCUACAUUGCUUGUCUCCAGGUCGUUCCCUUCUCUGUUAUUUGUCCCUGCUACUAAGUCACUCACAUGCUUGGUUUCUCUCAACAAGUAUCGUUGAUUAGAUGGGAUCACUGUGUUGUCUGAUGAAAAUAAACGUGUGUGUAUGUGAUUGCAUUUUUUGCAUGAUUGAUAUAUAAUGGUUGCUCCAAUGUACACUGGGUAUGCAUGUAUUCUCCACGAACUUAGAAUUGGCACUCUCUUUUAGACCAGCUCUUCAUUCUUGUAUUUAAGUUGGUACUAAAUCUGGAAGAGGUUUAUUGUAGGUUGAUGUCUUUUCCAUCUCAUAUUUUUCAUCCAUGUGAUACGAACAAAUGCACAUGAUAAAGAGGAGAAUCUUUUCAUGAGCUUCACCAGCCAUUGUACAGAAUAUACAAUGCUGUUUUCUUAUGCAUUUUAAUUACAUUUACAGCUGUAAGUUUGUGAUGAUACAAACGGAAGUUGCAUACAGAGUUUCUUAUAUAUACUAUUGUUCUAUCCAUGCUUAACAUAUAAAAAUUUCUGUUCUGUUCAUACUAUUUAACAGUCAGCAGUUUAGUCAUCUUACAAAAGUAGACUGUACAUACUCAAAUCAUCAACUAGACACCAGAAAUAUUGACUUCUCUUUGCUCUUUCAUCAGCCAUUUUACUUUAGCAUUCAUAAAUUUGGGUCCUCAAGACAUGUACUCAAUAACAGUACUUUGCUAUCACCAUUAAUAUCAUUAAUAUCCAUAGAACACGCUCUUAUCUUCCAUAUCACACAACAAUUUCUGUCCAUGUAAAUAACUUGCUUUCUUCUACCAGUAUUUUCAGUUUAACUAUACUGAAGAGAACCUAUUGGACUACAUUGAUUCAAACAAUGAUAUACACUCAUGGUCAGACUUGCAGAUGGCAAUCUGCUCGCUGAAUGUCGCAUCAUGCUAGGAACUGAUAAGAGGGCCACUAUAACCACCAACUGGUUUGAGUUUCGCUGCUGCGCCAACAUUCGCGAAGGAGACUUUUGUGUAUUUCAUUUCAGGAUCACUUUAAAGUGCCGCUUUGUUGUCACCAUGCACUGCCUCUGGAUGCACCAUCGAAGACGUUGCCGCCCCUGUGUCAAUAUAAUCUAAUAUAAUGUACCACUAAGCACUCUUAAUUAUGCUAUAUACUGUGAUAACCUAUGGUUUACUUUUGGGCCCUCUUA